rnacentral:rRNA from 1 species
UACACAUGCAAGUCGAACGAACCUUCGGGUUAGUGGCGGACGGGUGAGUAACGCGUGAGAAUCUGCCCUCAGGAGGGGGAUAACAGCUGGAAACGGCUGCUAAUACCCCAUAUGCCGCGAGGUGAAAUGAAUUUCGCCUGAGGAUGAGCUCGCGUCUGAUUAGCUAGUUGGUGUAGGUAAUGGCUCACCAAGGCUUCGAUCAGUAGCUGGUCUGAGAGGAUGAUCAGCCACACUGGGACUGAGACACGGCCCAGACUCCUACGGGAGGCAGCAGUGGGGAAUUUUCCGCAAUGGGCGAAAGCCUGACGGAGCAACGCCGCGUGAGGGAUGAAGGCCUCUGGGCUGUAAACCUCUUUUCUCAAGGAAGAAGAUCUGACGGUACUUGAGGAAUAAGCCACGGCUAAUUCCGUGCCAGCAGCCGCGGUAAUACGGGAGUGGCAAGCGUUAUCCGGAAUUAUUGGGCGUAAAGCGUCCGCAGGCGGCCCUUCAAGUCUGCUGUUAAAACGUGGAGCUUAACUCCAUCAUGGCAGUGGAAACUGUUGGGCUUGAGUGUGGUAGGGGCAGAGGGAAUUCCCGGUGUAGCGGUGAAAUGCGUAGAUAUCGGGAAGAACACCAGUGGCGAAGGCGCUCUGCUGGGCCAUAACUGACGCUCAUGGACGAAAGCCAGGGGAGCGAAAGGGAUUAGAUACCCCUGUAGUCCUGGCCGUAAACGAUGAACACUAGGUGUCGGGGGAAUCGACCCUCUCGGUGUCGUAGCCAACGCGUUAAGUGUUCCGCCUGGGGAGUACGCACGCAAGUGUGAAACUCAAAGGAAUUGACGGGGGCCCGCACAAGCGGUGAGUAUGUGGUUUACUUCGAUGCAACGCGAGAACCUUACCAGGGCUUGACAUCCUGCGAAUCUCUGGAAACGAGAGAGUGCCUUCGGAGCGCAGUGACAGUGGUGCAUGACUGUCGUCAGCUCGGUCGUGAAAUGUGGGUUAAGUCCCGCACGAGCGCACCCACGUCUUAGUGGCCAGCAUUAG